rnacentral:lncRNA from 1 species
GGUAAGAGGAAGUGGUUAAAAUAAUUCAAAAAAAGAGUCAUAUAUAUUAAAAUAGUUCAAAAAAUAUAAAAUUAAAUUUUAAUUUUUUAUAAUUUAAAAAUUUUAUUUAAAAAAAUUUGAAUUAGUUGAGAGAUUAGAAAUAUAAUUUAUUUAUUUAUUUUUAAUGUAAGCUACCGUGUCUAACUUCAGCCAUAAGGCAGUACUAAUUCUGUCUGUUUAAGAUCUUUCAAACAAUUGGGCUCCACCA